rnacentral:rRNA from 1 species
CACGUAGGGGGCAAGCGUUGUCCGGCUUUAUUGGGCGUAAAGAGCUCGUAGGCGGCUCAGUAAGUCAGGUGUGAAACCUCCAGGCUCAACCUGGAGACGCCACCUGAUACUGCUGUGGCUAGAGUCCGGUAGGGGAGCGUGGAAUUCCUGGUGUAGCGGUGAAAUGCGCAGAUAUCAGGAGGAACACCAGCGGCGAAGGCGGCGCUCUGGGCCGGUACUGACGCUGAGACGCGAAAGCGUGGGGAGCGAACAGG